rnacentral:rRNA from 1 species
GACGUAGGUGGCGAACGUUAUCCGGAAUUAUUGGGCGUAAAGAGCGUGUAGGCGGUUUGGUAGGUCCGCUGUGAAAACUCGAGGCCCAACCUCGAGACGCCGGUGGAAACCAUCAGACUAGAGUCCGGAAGAGGAGAGUGGAAUUCCUGGUGUAGCGGUGAAAUGCGCAGAUAUCAGGAGGAACACCGGUGGCGAAGGCGGGUCUCUGGGCCGAUACUGACGCUGAGGAGCGAAAGCGUGGGGAGCGAACAGG